rnacentral:tRNA from 1 species
CGGGGUGUAGCGCAGUCUGGUAGCGCACCUGAAUGGGGUUCAGGUGGUCGCCGGUUCGAAUCCGGCCACCCCGAC